rnacentral:rRNA from 1 species
GUGCCAGCAGCCGCGGUAAGACGUAGGGGGCAAGCGUUGUCCGGAAUUACUGGGCGUAAAGGGCGUGUAGGCGGUUUCAUACGUAGCGGUUUUCAGCCGCCGGCUCACCCGGCGGAGGGCGGAUAAACGGUGAGACUUGAGGGCAGGAGAGGUGCACGGAAUUCCUGGUGGAGCGGUGAAAUGCGUAGAGAUCAGGAAGAACACCAGUGGCGAAGGCGGUGCACUGGCCUGGCCCUGACGCUGAGGCGCGAUAGCGUGGGGAGCAAACGGGAUUAGAUACCCCGGUAGUCCACGCCGUAAACGAUGGAUACUAGGUGUCGCGGGGGUCCACCCGGCGGUGCCGGAGCUAACGCACUAAGUAUCCCGCCUGGGGAGUACGGCCGCAAGGUUGAAACUCAAAGGAAUUGACGGGGGCCCGCACAAGCAGUGGAGCAUGUGGUUUAAUUCGACGCAACGCGCAGAACCUUACCAAGACUAGACGGGAUCGUAAGCGCCGUGAAAACGGCGGGCGGCUUCGGCCGAGCGAUCGUCAGGUGCUGCAUGGUUGUCGUCAGCUCGUGUCGUGAGAUGUUGGGUUAAGUCCCGCAACGAGCGCAACCCCUGUCGUGUGUUGCCAGCGGUUCGGCCGGGCACUCACACGAGACAGCCGGGGACGACCCGGAGGAAGGUGGGGAUGACGUCAAAUCCGCAUGGCCUUUAUGUCUUGGGCUACACACGUGCUACAAUGGCCGCGACAAUGGGUCGCUACGACGCGAGUCGAUGCUAACCUCCAAACGCGGUCUCAGUUCGGAUUGCAGGCUGCAACUCGCCUGCAUGAAGCCGGAAUUGCUAGUAAUCGCGGAUCAGCAUGCCGCGGUGAAUCGGUUCCCGGGGCCUUGUACACACCGCCCGUCACACCACGAGAGUUGGCCACACCCGAAGCCGGGCCCGCGAACCCCUUGGGGACGCGGCCGUCGACGGUGGGGUUGGUAAUUGGGGUGAAGUCGUAACAAGGUAACC